rnacentral:lncRNA from 1 species
CAAGACCCACACACACACCGGUGACUCAGGGCUUAGUUAGUUAAUAACCACAUUUCUGAAGUAUAUUAAUAAUAAUAUUCAAGCAAUAGUGACAGGAAAUGUGUGAAGUGACAAUAUUAACUCAAAGAGCUAGCAUCCCUGAGGCUUACUCUGUGCCAGGCUGGGGGUUUCGCAUUCUUAUUUUACUCAUCACAGAAACCCUCUGGAACAUGCACUCUGUGGUUACCAUCUUAUAGAUGAGGAUCGGGGUGAGAGAAGAUUAAUACAUUCCCCACAGUCUAGAUCAUCAGGAGAACCAACAAAUCUUGGGCAAGGACCCAGGAAGCAGAAGCAGAAGCAGCACAGAGCCGGUCUGCUUUUUUGUAGUUGUUGUUUUUGUUUUUUUCUUUUUGAGACAGGGUCUUGCUCUGUUGCCCACAUUGGAGUGCAAUGAUGCGAUCAUACCUCAAUGCAACCUCUGCCUCCUGACUCAAGCGAUCCUCCCACCUCAGCCUCCUGAGUAGCUGAGACUACAGGUGCACAUCACCAUGCUCGACUAAUUUUUGUAAUUUUUGUAGAGAUGGGGUUUCAUCAUGUUUCCCAGGCUGAUCUCAAACUCCUGGACUCAAGCAAUCUGCCCCCCUUGGCAUCCUAAAGUUCUGAGAUUACAGGUGCUCGAAAUGUGAGUAAAAGCGACUACGACUUCUGUUCAGACUGAACUUCCAAAUGCUGGAAGCACGGUAAACUCGGCACAAGAAGUACUUGUGAAGGAAUGGGCUUCUAAAGAGCCUGCCAUGGACCCUUUCCACAUCUACUAAGAAGUUUUGGCAUUAUACCAUAGGCCCUCUGAAUGUAGCCAGAAACAAACAAACAAACAAAAAGCCAGCAUCAUCGGCACCUGGGGGAUUGUCAGAAAAGCACCCUCAGACCCAACUCCAUCCUAUGAAUCAGAGUCUACAGUUCAGCAGGGUCCCAAGGGGAUGCUCAAAAACAAUAACAUCUGAAAUGCACCGCUAUGCAUUCCUUUUCCUUAAGA